UAUAAAAGAGCAGAUAUGACCAUUGGU
rnacentral:sRNA from 1 species